rnacentral:rRNA from 1 species
AGUGAACGCUGGUGGUAGGCCUAACACAUGCAAGUCGAACGGCAGCACAGUAAGAGCUUGCUCUUACGGGUGGCGAGUGGCGGACGGGUGAGGAAUACAUCGGAAUCUACUUUUUCGUGGGGGAUAACGUAGGGAAACUUACGCUAAUACCGCAUACGACCUACGGGUGAAAGCAGGGGAUCUUCGGACCUUGCGCGAUUGAAUGAGCCGAUGUCGGAUUAGCUAGUUGGCGGGGUAAAGGCCCACCAAGGCGACGAUCCGUAGCUGGUCUGAGAGGAUGAUCAGCCACACUGGAACUGAGACACGGUCCAGACUCCUACGGGAGGCAGCAGUGGGGAAUAUUGGACAAUGGGCGCAAGCCUGAUCCAGCCAUACCGCGUGGGUGAAGAAGGCCUUCGGGUUGUAAAGCCAUUUUGUUGGGAAAGAAAAGCAGCAGGUUAAUACCCCGCUGUUCGGACGGUACCCAAAGAAUAAGCACCGGCGAACUUCGU